rnacentral:tRNA from 1 species
GUCCCGUUGGUCAAGUGGUUAAGACACCGCCCUUUCACGGCGGUAUCACGGGUUCGAAUCCCGUACGGGUCACCA